rnacentral:rRNA from 1 species
AUUGAACGCUGGCGGCAGGCCUAACACAUGCAAGUCGAGCGGAUGAAGGGAGCUUGCUCCUGGAUUCAGCGGCGGACGGGUGAGUAAUGCCUAGGAAUCUGCCUGGUAGUGGGGGAUAACGUCCGGAAACGGGCGCUAAUACCGCAUACGUCCUGAGGGAGAAAGUGGGGGAUCUUCGGACCUCACGCUAUCAGAUGAGCCUAGGUCGGAUUAGCUAGUUGGUGGGGUAAAGGCCUACCAAGGCGACGAUCCGUAACUGGUCUGAGAGGAUGAUCAGUCACACUGGAACUGAGACACGGUCCAGACGCCUACGGGAGGCAGCAGUGGGGAAUAUUGGACAAUGGGCGAAAGCCUGAUCCAGCCAUGCCGCGUGUGUGAAGAAGGUCUUCGGAUUGUAAAGCACUUUAAGUUGGGAGGAAGGGCAGUAAGUUAAUACCUUGCUGUUUUGACGUUACCAACAGAAUAAGCACCGGCUAACUUCGU